rnacentral:rRNA from 1 species
CCUACGGGGGGCAGCAGUGAGGAAUAUUGGUCAAUGGGCGAGAGCCUGAACCAGCAAAGUAGCGUGAAGGAUGACUGCCCUACGGGUUGUAAACUUCUUUUAUAAAGGAAUAAAGUGAGGCACGUGUGCCUUUUUGUAUGUACUUUAUGAAUAAGGAUCGGCUAACUCCGUGACAGCAGCCGCGGUAAUACGGAGGAUCCGAGCGUUAUCCGGAUUUAUUGGGUUUAAAGGGAGCGUAGAUGGGUUGUUAAGUCAGUUGUGAAAGUUUGCGGCUCAACCGUAAAAGUGCAAUUGAUACUGGCAGCCUUGAGUACAGUUGAGGUAGGCGGAAUUCGUUGUGUAGCGGUGAAAUGCUUAGAUAUCACGAAGAACUCCGAUUGCGAAGGCAGCUUACUAAUCUGCCACUGACAUUGAUGCUCGAAAGUGUGGGUAUCAAACAGGAUUAGAUACCCUUGUAGUC